rnacentral:lncRNA from 1 species
AAACUUUGAUUUCUGUAUAUUCAGUGAUCUGUGAAUAUGAGUGCUUUUAGUUGCUUAGUAGAUACCAUACUAGUAACUUGUUCUUGCUCAAGCUCAUAGGACUCUAGAAUCUGUGCACUCUUGCUUGUUUAACUGUACCCUAUAGAUUCUUAGAAGUUAUAUAGUUACUUUUGAUUGCAAAGUGACUCGAUGCCACUUUCUUUACAUGGAUGGCUAAUGAUGC